rnacentral:rRNA from 1 species
UCCGUAGGGGGCUAUCGUUAUCCGGAAUUACUGGGCGUAAAGGGUGCGUAGGUGGUUUCUUAAGUCAGAAGUGAAAGGCUACGGCUCAACCGUAGUAAGCGUUUGAAACUGAGAAACUUGAGUGCAGGAGAGGAGAGUAGAAUUCCUAGUGUAGCGGUGAAAUGCGUAGAUAUUAGGAGGAAUACCAGUAGCGAAGGCGGCUCUCUGGACUGUAACUGACACUGAGGCACGAAAGCGUGGGGAGUAAACAGG